rnacentral:misc_RNA from 1 species
GUAGGUGAACCUGCGGAAGGAUCAUUACUGAAUAACUAAAUCUUUAGUUUUUCAUACCCCAUUGUUGACUUACCCAUGUUGCUUCCACGUGGACAGGCGUUCAUUCUGCCCUCUGGCUUGUUGUGCUUACCCCACACUUGACAGGGAGUUGCCCGUGGUAAGACCCCAAUAUUACACUUUUUAUAUAUACUAUAAUGUCUGAAUAAAUCAUUUCAAAUGAAAUAAAACUUUCAACAACGGAUCUCUAGGCUCUU